AUGAUGCUGCAGUUCUGGUUAUGAGGCGUAUUCCCUUGGCCCAACUUUUAUUCUCGGGAAUCGUCCCUGUUAAGACCGUGGUCUUAAUAUUUACGAUGCCCACCUGGUUUAUUGGCCAGAGAGGAUCAAACUCAGACCGAUCAGGCGGCAUCAUU
rnacentral:other from 1 species